rnacentral:rRNA from 1 species
UACGUAGGGUGCUAGCGUUAUCCGGAAUCACUGGGCGUAAAGCGCGCGUAGGCGGUUUGCUAAGUGGGAUGUGAAAUCCCCCGGGCUUAACCUGGGAAUUGCAUUUCAAACUGGCCGACUAGAGUACGGUAGAGGGAGGUAGAAUUUCCUGUGUAGCGGUGAAAUGCGUAGAUAUAGGAAGGAAUACCAGUGGCGAAGGCGGCCUCCUGGAUCGAUACUGACGCUGAGGCGCGAAAGCGUGGGGAGCAAACAGG